rnacentral:rRNA from 1 species
AACGUAGGUGGCAAGCGUUAUCCGGAAUUACUGGGCGCAAAGGGUGUGCAGGCGGGGGGGCAAGUGGGGGAUGAAAUCUCCCAGCUUAACUGGGAUAGGUUAUGCCAGACUGCAUAUCUAGAGGACGAGAGAGGGGGGUGGAAUUCCGGGUGUAGUGGUGAAAUGCGUAGAGAUCCGGAGGAACCCCAGAGGCGAAGGCGGCCCCCUGGCUCGUACCUGACGCUCAGCCACGAAAGCAUGGGGAGCGAACGGG